GUAAAUACUCGAGAAUAUUUGGGAUAUGUGUGUUUCGGGUUUGAUGUUGCAGUCUCUGCGGAAGCGGUCAAGUGGGUAGAUAUGUGUGUUUGGUGGCUUCUGCGAAGAGCCACCAGAGUCCAUGUGGUUCGUCUCCUUUCUAAGCUGAGGCCUUUUUGUGUGAAGUUUGUGCUUGGUUAUAAGUUUUCAGGUGUUGUCUUCUCUUUGGUGGUCGCUGUGGGAUGUUAACAUGAUCGAUUGAGUCCUUUUGUUCCCCUGAGCAAGGAUCAUCGAGAUGGUUAGGUUUCGCUCCCUGUCUUUGCAUUUCCGCAUCUUUUGUGAUCAGAUUGCUUUUUUUAGGCUUUUAUCUAGGCGCUCCAUGACAGACCAACGUCUCCGCCGCAUCCAGAAGUGUUUUAUGAGGAUCAGUUUUGACCUUUACUUGUCGGGUUAUGAAGUCUUGGUUACUUGGUUUUGAGAGAUCAUCUCUCAUCAUGAUGGGAAGAAGCAGAUGUUAUCGAUUGGUUGGCCGUGGGUAGCAUUGGUAAAUCGCAUUCUCAAGUUCUUCUAAAGAAAAGGUCUUCUUUGGUGCUUAUGUCAAGUGUUUUCUUCGGAUUUAAGUUUGUAUGCUUCCUUAGAUUUUGGUUUCGAUCUCUUUCGAUUUCAGCUUUAAAAUUUUUUGUUUGUAAUGUGUUCAUGUUUCCUUUACAUAGGGCUUAGUUUUCGGAGAAUUCACGUUUUCUUCCGGCUUAGUU